UUCUGGGAUCAAUGGUGCGCCUCCUCUCAGCCCUUCCCACUGCUGUGGGAAGAUAACACACAUGGACAGCAGUUGGGCAUCCAUAUGAAGUCCGAGGGUUGAAAGCAAGGUCCGCCGUACCGGUACCGGUCGGCGUACCGGUGGCCGGCCGGACCGGUACGGUACCGGUCCGGUCCGGUACGUACCGGCCGGUACCGGUACGGUACGCGGUGGUUUCAAAAACCACAGCGCGCGG
rnacentral:lncRNA from 1 species